rfam:Mus musculus chromosome 4, GRC primary reference assembly.
CUCCCCUGGCAAUGGGCAAAGAGGCACCUAGUUGGUGAUGUUCUUGUACCAGUCAGGGGCAGGGCAGAUGGCAGUCCUUUGUUCAUCUUGGCUUGAUGCCUGGCUUGGUGGCCAAGGCAGCCUUAUGCUUGGGACUCAAAG